GUUUUAAUUUAGUGGACAUAUAGAACUUCUUCUGACAUCUAAAUGGUCCACUGGUGGGACAGAAAAGGGAAACUGGAUCUUUGAAACCCUCUGUUGUCACCUCUCUCAUUAUUCCCGCUCUGAUGACAACACGGAGCAUACUGUCAACGUCCUCCAGAAAGAAGAAGAUAAAAACCUACACAAUGUUAC